GAUGAACGCUGGCGGCGUGCCUAAUACAUGCAAGUCGAGCGAACAGACGAGGAGCUUGCUCCUCUGACGUUAGCGGCGGACGGGUGAGUAACACGUGGAUAACCUACCUAUAAGACUGGGAUAACUUCGGGAAACCGGAGCUAAUACCGGAUAAUAUAUUGAACCGCAUGGUUCAAUAGUGAAAGACGGUUUUGCUGUCACUUAUAGAUGGAUCCGCGCCGCAUUAGCUAGUUGGUAAGGUAACGGCUUACCAAGGCAACGAUGCGUAGCCGACCUGAGAGGGUGAUCGGCCACACUGGAACUGAGACACGGUCCAGACUCCUACGGGAGGCAGCAGUAGGGAAUCUUCCGCAAUGGGCGAAAGCCUGACGGAGCAACGCCGCGUGAGUGAUGAAGGUCUGCGGAUCGUAAAACUCUGUUAUUAGGGAAGAACAAAUGUGUAAGUAACGAUGCACGUCUGGACGGUACCUAAGCAGAAAGCAACGGCUAACUACGU
rnacentral:rRNA from 1 species